CUUGUGGAGGCUGUGGAGGUAUAAUUCCGGGUUCGACUCCUGCUGUGGCUGUAAGCUUAUGGCGUUUAGAACGGCGUUGGAAAACAAAGCGUUUUCUCCCCUCAAUUUGUCUAUGAAAUCUUUUCACCUCAGCGGUCAGGGUUUCCCCCCCCCUUGAAUUGAUCUUCUUCAUAUUGAAGUGGCGAGCCGGUAGGACCAUUCUUUUCCCCCCCUUUGCAGUCUUUGGAUUACGGACAUAUUUCCCCAUUACAUGAAGCUGGACCCUAAGGAGGAAUUCCUUAAAAAACUGAACUUUAAAAAAGGACCAAAAGGACUCUUGCACAGAGAAUCACAGCAUUAAUUUAUUAAUUAAUUGUGGGCAUUUAUUUAUGUUGUCUUAUAUUUAUUACUUUUGUUCCAUUUUCCCUUUCCCCCAUUUAUUCAAUAUAUUUUUGGUUUUUCCUGAACAAGA